GGGGAAUAUUGCGCAAUGGGCGAAAGCCUGACGCAGCAACGCCGCGUGCGGGAUGACGGCCUUCGGGUUGUAAACCGCUUUCAGCAGGGACGAAGGGUUUCUGACGGUACCUGCAGAAGAAGCACCGGCUAACUACGUGCCAGCAGCCGCGGUGAUACGUAGGGUGCGAGCGUUGUCCGGAAUUAUUGGGCGUAAAGAGCUUGUAGGCGGUCCGUUGCGUCGGAAGUGAAAACUCGGGGCUUAACCCCGAGCCUGCUUUCGAUACGGGCGGACUUGAGGGAUGUAGGGGAGAACGGAAUUCCUGGUGGAGCGGUGGAAUGCGCAGAUAUCAGGAGGAACACCAGUGGCGAAGGCGGUUCUCUGGACAUUUCCUGACGCUGAGAAGCGAAAGCGUGGGGAGCAAACA
rnacentral:rRNA from 1 species